rnacentral:rRNA from 1 species
UACGGAGGGCGCGAGCGUUGUCCGGAUUCAUUGGGCGUAAAGAGCUCGUAGGCGGCCUGUUGCGUCCGCUGUGAAAUCCCGGGGCUUAACCCCGGGCGUGCAGUGGAUACGGGCAGUCUGGAGGCAGGCAGGGGAGAGCGGAAUUCCCGGUGUAGCGGUGAAAUGCGCAGAUAUCGGGAGGAACACCGGUGGCGAAGGCGGUUCUCUGGGCCUGCACUGACGCUGAGGAGCGAAAGCGUGGGGAGCGAACGGG